rnacentral:rRNA from 1 species
UACGUAGGGGGCUAGCGUUGUCCGGAAUCAUUGGGCGUAAAGAGCGUGUAGGCGGCCCGGUAAGUCCGCUGUGAAAGUCGGGGGCUCAACCCUUGAAAGCCGGCCGAUACUGUCGGACUAGAGUCCGGAAGAGGCAAGUGGAAUUCCCGGUGUAGCGGUGAAAUGCGCAGAUAUCGGGAGGAACACCAAUGGCGAAGGCAGCUUGCUGGGACGGUACUGACGCUGAGGCGCGAAAGCGUGGGGAGCAAACAGG